UAGAGUUUUAGUAGAGGAUGCUGAAAAGUUCCUGGCUUUAAGGGGUAUUGUGAAGGGCCUGGUUAGAGGCCUAACCCUUCGAGUUCUUUUACAAGGCUUAGAAAAACUGUAGGACUGCUGCAAUAAGUGUAUGAAUCUGAGAGAAGAAUAUGUUGAA